UACGAAGGGGGCUAGCGUUGCUCGGAAUCACUGGGCGUAAAGGGUGCGUAGGCGGGUCUUUAAGUCAGGGGUGAAAUCCUGGAGCUCAACUCCAGAACUGCCUUUGAUACUGAAGAUCUUGAGUUCGGGAGAGGUGAGUGGAACUGCGAGUGUAGAGGUGAAAUUCGUAGAUAUUCGCAAGAACACCAGUGGCGAAGGCGGCUCACUGGCCCGAUACUGACGCUGAGGUGCGAAAGCGUGGGGAGCAAGCAGG
rnacentral:rRNA from 1 species